rnacentral:lncRNA from 1 species
GCUGCCGAGGAGUAGCAGCUUCUAGCGAUUCUCUGGUCCCCUCGUACCACACCAACUACCCCGUUCACCCGGUACUUGAGAGCCAGGUAAUGGUUAGACAGUACCGCUUUGCUCAUCCUCAGAAACGGCCGACCUAGGAUCAUCUGGUAUGGACCUUCUUCAUCCACCACCACAAAGUCUAGUAUCAUAGUUCUUUCUGUCGGGGAGCUCCCAAUUGUGAUAGGCAACUUGACCACACCCAGUGGGACCAGCUUUCCUCCUCCGAAUCCCUUC